UACAGAGGUCCCAAGCGUUGUUCGGAUUCACUGGGCGUAAAGGGUGCGUAGGCGGUCGGGUAAGUCUGAUGUGAAAUCUCACAGCUUAACUGUGAAACUGCAUUGGAUACUAUCCGGCUCGAGGAAUGGAGGGGAGACUGGAAUACUUGGUGUAGCAGUGAAAUGCGUAGAUAUCAAGUGGAACACCAGUGGCGAAGGCGAGUCUCUGGACAUUUCCUGACGCUGAGGCACGAAAGCCAAGGGAGCAAACAGG
rnacentral:rRNA from 1 species